rnacentral:rRNA from 1 species
CAGUCAUACCAACGGGAAAUCAACCUUUUGAGCUCGGUCUCGUGGGUUUUGAAGAGUUUCAAAGCCUUCGGAUUCGCGGGAUUGGGAUCUCUCGGUGUACUUUCUCGUACGGUUAGUCAACAUCGGUUUUGAACGUCAUAAAAUGACUGGAGGAAUGUAGCUUCGAUCUCGUAUUGAAGUGUUAUAGCCUUUGGUAGAUGUGAUGUUUGAGACCGAGGAUUGCAACGGAUACCCUUCAGGGCUAUUCGUCUGAUCUCUGAUACGUUGCCCUGAUGUUGAAAGCUUGCUUAUGAUGUUAGGGUAUUACGGUCAAAAGGUUAGAACGAAUUACAUUCGUUAAGGAUGUUGACGUAAUGACUUUAAACGA